ACUUGGACAAAUUUAACCAAACUUGUCCAAAAUCAUCUUUUCGGUAUCUAGAUUAAAAAAUGUGUCCGAUGACUUGGCCUGUGAACCAAGAUUGCGGACAUGGCUAAAAGUCGUUUUUUAAAGAAUUUUCAUAAAUUUUGUAAAUUUGUAUUGUAACUUGUAGCAACAUAUUUUCCUCUGCAACUAAUGGGCCAAGUUCAUUAUAGAUAGAAAUAAUUGUAAGUAGCAAGAACGUUCAGUAAAGUAAGAUCUAAAACACAUCACCAUUACCAAAACACAAUUUUGUCAUUAAUCCAUCUGUGUCUUUUGUUUAAUAUGCACAUAGACCAAGGUGAGCGACACAGGCUUGUAAGAGCCUCUAGUUUAAAUGUCGCAUUGAAUGGGUAACUCAAGCUUUCAUCAUUUUACUUUGAUUGUCAUAAGAGUAUAAAUAUAUACAGUU
rnacentral:lncRNA from 1 species